GCCAUUAGUUAUUUAUUUAAUAACCUUUGUCAGACAACCCAUAAUGUAUCCACUAUUAAAGUUGUUUUUAGCCUGAUUAGUACUUGGAUGAGAGACCACCUAGGAAGACCAGGUGCUGUAGGCG
rnacentral:rRNA from 1 species